AAAUUGAAGAGUUUGAUCAUGGCUCAGAUUGAACGCUGGCGGCAGGCCUAACACAUGCAAGUCGAGCGGUAGCACAGAGAGCUUGCUCUCGGGUGACGAGCGGCGGACGGGUGAGUAAUGUCUGGGAAACUGCCUGAUGGAGGGGGAUAACUACUGGAAACGGUAGCUAAUACCGCAUAAUGUCGCAAGACCAAAGUGGGGGACCUUCGGGCCUCAUGCCAUCAGAUGUGCCCAGAUGGGAUUAGCUAGUAGGUGGGGUAACGGCUCACCUAGGCGACGAUCCCUAGCUGGUCUGAGAGGAUGACCAGCCACACUGGAACUGAGACACGGUCCAGACUCCUACGGGAGGCAGCAGUGGGGAAUAUUGCACAAUGGGCGCAAGCCUGAUGCAGCCAUGCCGCGUGUGUGAAGAAGGCCUUCGGGUUGUAAAGCACUUUCAGCGGGGAGGAAGGCGAUAAGGUUAAUAACCUUGUCGAUUGACGUUACCCGCAGAAGAAGCACCGGCUAACUCCGUGCCAGCAGCCGCGGUAAUACGGAGGGUGCAAGCGUUAAUCGGAAUUACUGGGCGUAAAGCGCACGCAGGCGGUCUGUCAAGUCGGAUGUGAAAUCCCCGGGCUCAACCUGGGAACUGCAUUCGAAACUGGCAGGCUAGAGUCUUGUAGAGGGGGGUAGAAUUCCAGGUGUAGCGGUGAAAUGCGUAGAGAUCUGGAGGAAUACCGGUGGCGAAGGCGGCCCCCUGGACAAAGACUGACGCUCAGGUGCGAAAGCGUGGGGAGCAAACAGGAUUAGAUACCCUGGUAGUCCACGCCGUAAACGAUGUCGAUUUGGAGGUUGUGCCCUUGAGGCGUGGCUUCCGGAGCUAACGCGUUAAAUCGACCGCCUGGGGAGUACGGCCGCAAGGUUAAAACUCAAAUGAAUUGACGGGGGCCCGCACAAGCGGUGGAGCAUGUGGUUUAAUUCGAUGCAACGCGAAGAACCUUACCUGGUCUUGACAUCCACAGAACUUUCCAGAGAUGGAUUGGUGCCUUCGGGAACUGUGAGACAGGUGCUGCAUGGCUGUCGUCAGCUCGUGUUGUGAAAUGUUGGGUUAAGUCCCGCAACGAGCGCAACCCUUAUCCUUUGUUGCCAGCGGUUAGGCCGGGAACUCAAAGGAGACUGCCAGUGAUAAACUGGAGGAAGGUGGGGAUGACGUCAAGUCAUCAUGGCCCUUACGACCAGGGCUACACACGUGCUACAAUGGCAUAUACAAAGAGAAGCGACCUCGCGAGAGCAAGCGGACCUCAUAAAGUAUGUCGUAGUCCGGAUUGGAGUCUGCAACUCGACUCCAUGAAGUCGGAAUCGCUAGUAAUCGUAGAUCAGAAUGCUACGGUGAAUACGUUCCCGGGCCUUGUACACACCGCCCGUCACACCAUGGGAGUGGGUUGCAAAAGAAGUAGGUAGCUUAACCUUCGGGAGGGCGCUUACCACUUUGUGAUUCAUGACUGGGGUGAAGUCGUAACAAGGUAACCGUAGGGGAACCUGCGGUUGGAUCACCUCCUUA
rnacentral:rRNA from 3 species